rfam:Schistosoma curassoni strain Dakar, Senegal genome assembly, scaffold: SCTD_scaffold0000279
AUCCAUCAGACGAGUCCCAACUAGGAUGAAACGCGCAUCCUGGAC